rnacentral:rRNA from 1 species
AAUAACGUAGACGAAAGUUACGCUAAUACCACAUAUUCUGUGAGCAGGAAANCGAGGGGAUCGCAAGACCUUGCGCUGAUUGAGCGGCCGAUAUCAGAUUAGCUAGUUGGUGAGGUAAAGGCUCACCAAGGCGACGAUCUGUAGCGGGUCUGAGAGGAUGAUCCGCCACACUGGAACUGAGACACCGGUCCAGACUCCGUACGGGAGGCAGCAGUGGGGAAUUUUUGGACAAUGGGCGCAAGCCUGAUCCAGCCAUGCCGCGUGAGUGAAGAAGGCCUUCGGGUUGUAAAGCUCUUUCGGCCGGGAAGAAAUCGCACGGGUUAAUACCCUGUGUGGAUGACGGUACCGGAAUAAGAAGCACCGGCUAACUACGUG